rnacentral:rRNA from 1 species
CGUGCUUAACACAUGCAAGUCGAACGGAAAGGCCCUGCUUUUGUGGGGUGCUCGAGUGGCGAACGGGUGAGUAACACGUGAGUAACCUGCCCUUGACUUUGGGAUAACUUCAGGAAACUGGGGCUAAUACCGGAUAGGAGCUCCUGCUGCAUGGUGGGGGUUGGAAAGUUUCGGCGGUUGGGGAUGGACUCGCGGCUUAUCAGCUUGUUGGUGGGGUAGUGGCUUACCAAGGCUUUGACGGGUAGCCGGCCUGAGAGGGUGACCGGCCACAUUGGGACUGAGAUACGGCCCAGACUCCUACGGGAGGCAGCAGUGGGGAAUAUUGCACAAUGGGCGGAAGCCUGAUGCAGCAACGCCGCGUGCGGGAUGACGGCCUUCGGGUUGUAAACCGCUUUCGCCUGUGACGAAGCGUGAGUGACGGUAAUGGGUAAAGAAGCACCGGCUAACUACGUGCCAGCAGCCGCGGUGAUACGUAGGGUGCGAGCGUUGUCCGGAUUUAUUGGGCGUAAAGGGCUCGUAGGUGGUUGAUCGCGUCGGAAGUGUAAUCUUGGGGCUUAACCCUGAGCGUGCUUUCGAUACGGGUUGACUUGAGGAAGGUAGGGGAGAAUGGAAUUCCUGGUGGAGCGGUGGAAUGCGCAGAUAUCAGGAGGAACACCAGUGGCGAAGGCGGUUCUCUGGGCCUCUCCUGACGCUGAGGAGCGAAAGCGUGGGGAGCGAACAGGCUUAGAUACCCUGGUAGUCCACGCUGUAAACGGUGGGUACUAGGUGUGGGGUCCAUUCCACGGGUUCCGUGCCGUAGCUAACGCUUUAAGUACCCCGCCUGGGGAGUACGGCCGCAAGGCUAAAACUCAAAGGAAUUGACGGGGCCCCGCACAAGCGGCGGAGCAUGCGGAUUAAUUCGAUGCAACGCGUAGAACCUUACCUGGGUUUGACAUGGAUCGGGAGUGCUCAGAGAUGGGUGUGCCUCUUUUGGGGUCGGUUCACAGGUGGUGCAUGGCUGUCGUCAGCUCGUGUCGUGAGAUGUUGGGUUAAGUCCCGCAACGAGCGCAACCCUUGUUCACUGUUGCCAGCACGUUAUGGUGGGGACUCAGUGGAGACCGCCGGGGUCAACUCGGAGGAAGGUGGGGAUGACGUCAAGUCAUCAUGCCCCUUAUGUCCAGGGCUUCACGCAUGCUACAAUGGCUGGUACAGAGAGUGGCGAGCCUGUGAGGGUGAGCGAAUCUCGGAAAGCCGGUCUCAGUUCGGAUUGGGGUCUGCAACUCGACCUCAUGAAGUCGGAGUCGCUAGUAAUCGCAGAUCAGCAACGCUGCGGUGAAUACGUUCCCGGGGCUUGUACACACCGCCCGUCAAGUCAUGAAAGUUGGUAACACCCGAAGCCGGUGGCCUAACCGUUGUGGGGGAGCCGUCGAAGGUGGGACUGGUGAUU